UACGUAGGGCGCGAGCGUUUGUCCGGAAUUAUUGGGCGUAAAGAGCUCGUAGGCGGUGUGUCGCGUCGGCUGUGAAAACCCGAGGCUCAACCUCGGGCCUGCAGUCGAUACGGGCAGACUAGAGUGCUGUAGGGGAGACUGGAAUUCCUGGUGUAGCGGUGAAAUGCGCAGAUAUCAGGAGGAACACCGGUGGCGAAGGCGGGUCUCUGGGGCAGUAACUGACGCUGAGGAGCGAAAGCGUGGGGGAGCAAACAGG
rnacentral:rRNA from 1 species